AUUUAAGGGUUGGCAGUGGAGGUGAGGGCAUCUCUUGCUGGAGAUCCCUGCCUACGUGAUGCCUUCUAAAGGCUGUGAAUAUCCUGCCAUUAAAACACCAAACUUGUUUAUUUUCCUAUGGCUUGAUGAAAAAUCAUCUAAUUCCCAAGCUUGUUUUCUCUCAUCUUUUGUUUGUUGUGGCUUCAACCUUCUAAAUGAAAUCCUAUUUACAAGCUGGGUUUCUGAAGUUUAAUUUCCACGGUGACUGCAUCCCUUUCAGGCCCAUGUGAGCACUCAGAGACCCUGCUAAGAUAUGAGCACGUUUCUGUUGAACACUGGAGAAGUUUUGCUCUUGAACCUUGCUCAUUGAGAAAUGUUAACUUAGGAACGAUUGGUGUCAGAAGAGCUCCUCAGUGAUGUCUGCAGAGGCAGAAAUGCAGCUGUGUACAUUCUGUUGGCCAUUUUGCGCUUGGCAACUGCGCAGCCCACAGCCUGCAUUUUCUUGAAAAGGUUUUGCUUGCUUUCAAUGAGACUGAUGAGAUAAGUAGGACCAGAGCUUUUACUGAAUUGGAAAUCCAAAUGAGUGCCUGUCAGAACGGGACCCUCUACAUUUGAGCAGAAGUCAGCCUUUCAGCCAGCAGCACUCAGCCUCCUGGGCCACCUCGCAGAGGAACACUGAAUUCCCUCACACCCUCCUGGGCAGCACAACUAAUCGUUUUUGCAAUUUCUCAUAACAUUUCUGGAAUUCUUCAGAAGAGUCAUCAGUCUUUCACUUCUGCUCUACAUAAUUAAACUUCCUCGAGCCUGAAUUCCUUCAGUGUAGCACUUUCUGUUGACUUUUAGGUGUAUGUGUCUGAAAACAACACACUGAGUCCUUAGGUUUUGAGUUUUCACUGUACUACAGUGGGGUGAUGCACCUUAAAAACAGUCAGAACGUAUGUCUGUUCUCCAACAGUGAGGGUUGCAUCUUAAGUAAAUGCUUAGUCCAUCCUGGUCAAAAUAGGUCUUUGUCAUACAUUUGAUGCUGCUUUCAGAAUCAGGAAAAAAUGGUGAUGGUGCAGAAUCUGUCAGGUGCUCUGUUAAGACUAUGGCAUGUACCUUUGUGUCUGCUGUGUUAUUUCUCUCCUGUCUCCCAUUGUAUGCCUUAUUCACCCAGGCUCUGUUUAUCACUGUUAGGGCACGCCUUUUCUGACAGAUAAAUACACAGCAGGUAAAAGAUGGACCACAGAAAUAGAUGCUCUCAAACAUUAAAAAAAGCCACUGUUUACAGAUGAUAGUAGAUGGAUGCUCUCUGUUCAUUAUAUUGCAUUUAGUGCCUCAACUUGUUGUAAGCUCAACAACUUUCUCACAAGGAACCCUUCAUUUUUAUGUUUUCUUCCGUUUUUGUGCUUUGAAGGUGGUAUUGGAACAGUUAUUCCUUUACAAAGCAACAUUACAUUCCUUUGUAGUGAAGGCAAUUAAAGCUUAGUUCUGACCUGAGCUUUCCUUAGAUAUGUCAAUUAUUCCAGAGUUCAUACAGCUUUGGUGAAUGGAGGUAUCUAACUUAAGUGGCUAUGCUGUGUAUUUAUAAAAGAGCCUGCAUUACCCAAACCUGCUAAUUUAAAGAAAAAUCUUAGACUAUCAUAUUUGACUGUGCUAGUUCUACUGGCAGGCAGGUUGUGUAG
ensembl:lncRNA